rnacentral:rRNA from 1 species
GACGAACGCUGGCGGCGUGCCUAAUACAUGCAAGUUGAGCGCUGAAGGUUGGUACUUGUACCAACUGGAUGAGCAGCGAACGGGUGAGUAACGCGUGGGUAAUCUGCCUUUGAGCGGGGGACAACAUUUGGAAACGAAUGCUAAUACCGCAUAAAAACUUUAAACACAAGUUUUAAGUUUGAAAGAUGCAAUUGCAUCACUCAAAGAUGAUCCCGCGUUGUAUUAGCUAGUUGGUGAGGUAAAGGCCCACCAAGGCGAUGAUACAUAGCCGACCUGAGAGGGUGAUCGGCCACCUUGGGACUGAGACACGGCCCAAACUCCUACGGGAGGCAGCAGUAGGGAAUCUUCGGCAAUGGAGGAAAGUCUGACCGAGCAACGCCGCGUGAGUGAAGAAGGGUUUCGGAUCGUAAAACUCUGUUGGUAGAGAAGAACGUUGGUGAGAGUGGAAAGCUCAUCAAGUGACGGUAACUACACAGAAAGGGACGGCUAACUACGUG